UCCUUCUUCUUCUUCUUCUUUUGUUGCUUCUCCUUCUCCUUCUUUUGCUGCUCUGAUAAACACUUGGCAAGGUUUGAGAGCGCAAUGGAGAGAGACGACUGGUCAAUACUGGAAGCUUGAAGACAUUUUUCUACU
rnacentral:ribozyme from 1 species